UACAUGAUUUUUGUUAGUUUCCGCGGGGUUGACCUGUUGACAACAUGCGUAAAUACAGGAAUAAAAUACGACCUGUCACUCGGAAAUAAAAUUAUUCUAAAUCCCCUCCUCCUAAAUUUGUGCACACCCACAGCAACAUCAGUACUGUUCAUGUGUAAUAAAUUGUCACAGUUAGAACCGUGUACCUUAUCGGUUGUAUUACUGUCAGCAUAG